rnacentral:rRNA from 1 species
UACGGAGGAUGCAAGCGUUAUCCGGAAUGAUUGGGCGUAAAGGGUCCGCAGGUGGCAGUGUAAGUCUGCUGUCAAAGAAUGAGGCUUAACCUCAUCAAGGCAGUGGAAACUACACAGCCAGAGUACGGUCGGGGUAGAAGGAAUUCCUGGUGUAGCGGUGAAAUGCGUAGAGAUCAGGAAGAACACCGGUGGCGAAAGCGUUCUGCUAGACCUGUACUGACACUGAGGGACGAAAGCUAGGGGAGCGAAUGGG